CUGGCGGCAUGCCUAAGACAUGCAAGUCGAACGAGACGGCCCGUUGAAGACUGCGUACUUGUACAAAGUUGGAUUCGGUUCCCCGUCUAGUGGCGCAAGGGUGAGUAACACGUGGGUAAUCUACCUUCGAGUCUGGAAUAACAGUUAGAAAUGAUUGCUAAUGCCGGAUUAUAUUUAGAGAGGUACGUCUUUCUAAAUUAAAAGGAGCCUUUAAAGCUUCGCUUGAAGAUGAGCCUGCGCCGUAUUAGCUAGUUGGUGGGGUAAAGGCCUACCAAGGCGACGAUGCGUAGCCGACCUGAGAGGGUGAUCGGCCACACUGGGACUGAGACACGGCCCCAGACUCCUACGGGAGACAGCAGUUAGGAAUAUUCGUCAAUGGGGGAAACCCUGAACGAGCAAUGCCGCGUGAAGGAUGACGGUCCUAUGGAUUGUAAACUUCUGUUGUUAGGGAAGAACGACCUGUGUAGGAAAUGACACAGGAGUGACGGUACCUUUCAAGAAAGCUCCGGCUAACUACGUG
rnacentral:rRNA from 1 species